CUCCCGCCCGCCCGCUCCCUCUUUAAUUUAAAGCGACAACCCCGAGCGCUCCUCCUGCUCCGGGGAGCUGCGCGGCGCUUCCGGGGCCGGAGCCGAAGAUCCCCAAGCGCGCCUCGGAGUCCCGGGCGGGGUCUCCCGGAGGCCCAGCCCAGCCAUCACUCCCAGGCCCGGGGACGAGGGGGCGCCCUUGUUUUCCGUUCAUUUUCUGGACCUGGAAGAGGAAGAGAAAUCACAUGCAGUUGGGUAUGACUGAGCCCAUUUUCCACACAAGGACACCUGGCUGAGGAACGAUCGUGUUCCCGGUUUGGGAAGGAGUGGUGUUAGACACGCCAUCCUCACCUAAAAGGACACACUGAUGCGGGCUUCCUCUGCAGUAGCAAAGAGGGGAAGUUGAAGCUGGUCUGGCUCUGGGGUCAGCCUCCCAGGCUGAGCGUGAAGGGAGAUCUUGUCAAGUUCAGGUUUAAAAAACACUUCAAUGAACAGAAAAGCGUGCACACGUGCACCAAAGACAGGGCCUAGCAACAGGCAGGUGUGAAAUGCAUUGUAGCAUAGUCACAUGGCAUACCACGCGGCGAUGGGGAAACAAGACUACCGCGGCCCACAACAAGGUGGAUGAAUUUCGCUUGUCAUGUUGAGCUAAAGAAGCCAGACACAAAAACACACAUUGCAUAAUUCUGUUGACAGGAAGUUCAAAAAAACAGGCAAAACUACUCAUUACUGUUACCAGUCAGGAUGGGCAUUACCCGUGGGUGGCGACUGGAAGGGGCCUGUGGGAGCUCUGGGGUGCGGCUCAUGUCCCGGCUUUGACCUCCGUGCUGGUCCCUGGGUGUGGUCACUUUGUGAAAAUGUCUGAUCUCGCACAGUUAUGAUUUGUGUACUUUUCUGUGUGUGUGAUUCCCUUCAAUACAACUUACAGCCCUGGCCGGGCAGCUUGGUUCUUUAGAGCGCUGUCUUGAUAAACCAAGGUUGCAAUCCCGUCAGGACACAUGCAAGAAUCAACCAA